rnacentral:rRNA from 1 species
CCUACGGGGGGCUGCAGUGGGGAAUAUUGCACAAUGGGCGCAAGCCUGAUGCAGCCAUGCCGCGUGUGUGAAGAAGGCCUUCGGGUUGUAAAGCACUUUCAGCGGGGAGGAAGGCGGUGAGGUUAAUAACCUCAUCGAUUGACGUUACCCGCAGAAGAAGCACCGGCUAACUCCGUGCCAAGCAGCCGCGGUAAUACGGAGGGUGCAAGCGUUAAUCGGAAUUACUGGGCGUAAAGCGCACGCAGGCGGUCUGUCAAGUCGGAUGUGAAAUCCCCGGGCUCAACCUGGGAACUGCAUUCGAAACUGGCAGGCUAGAGUCUUGUAGAGGGGGGUAGAAUUCCAGGUGUAGCGGUGAAAUGCGUAGAGAUCUGGAGGAAUACCGGUGGCGAAGGCGGCCCCCUGGACAAAGACUGACGCUCAGGUGCGAAAGCGUGGGGAGCAAACAGGAUUAGAUACCCGAGUAGUC